CCACCAUGAGGGGUGUGUCAUUGUGACAGUUCUUGAGGCCGCUGUCAGCCCCGCUGCGCACCAGUGUGCGCACCAGAGGCAGAAGCCCGCGGCCAGACGCGGAAUGCAGAGCCGAGCUGCCAGAGUACAUCUGAGCGUUCACGUUGGCGCCGUGCUGUGGGACGGGGAAAUUCGAGUCAAGAGCCACGUGGGCCAGUGGCCUCACUUGGCCUGGGGUCAGUUAGGUGAAGGGGACGGACAGGUGAUCACAACUGGGGCUCACUCCAGCAGCCAGACCCUGAAAAGAUUCUGGACAUGGGGCUGGUCAAA
rnacentral:lncRNA from 1 species